GACGAACGCUGGCGGCGUGCUUAACACAUGCAAGUCGAACGGGUCUGCCCUGUUUUUUGCGGGGUGGGUCAGUGGCGAACGGGUGAGUAACACGUGAGUAACCUGCCCCUCACUUCUGGAUAACCGCUUGAAAGGGUGGCUAAUACGGGGUGUUCUGGCUGUGCCGCAUGGUGUGGCUGGGAAAGAUUCACCUUUGUGGUGUUUUGGUGGGGGAUGGGCUCGCGGCCUGUCAGCUUGUUGGUGGGGUGAUGGCCUGCCAAGGCUUUGACGGGUAGCCGGCCUGGGAGGGUGGGCGGUCACACUGGGACUGAGAUACGGCCCAGACUCCUGCGGGAGGCAGCAGUGGGGGGUAUUGCACAAUGGGCGGAAGCCUGAUGCAGCGACGUCGCGUGAGGGAUGGAGGCCUUCGGGUUGUGAACCUCUUUCGCCGGUGAAGAAGGUCCUGCUCUUUGUGGUGGGGUUGACGGUAGCCGGGUUAUGAAGCGCCGGCUAACUACGUG
rnacentral:rRNA from 1 species